rnacentral:rRNA from 1 species
AGGGAUUGCCCUAGUAACGGCGAGUGAAGCGGCAACAGCUCAAAUUUGAAAUCUGGCUCUCGGGCCCGAGUUGUAAUUUGUAGAGGAUACUUUUGAUGCGGUGCCUUCCGAGUUCCCUGGAACGGGACGCCAUAGAGGGUGAGAGCCCCGUCUGGUUGGAUGCCAAAUCUCUGUAAAGUUCCUUCGACGAGUCGAGUAGUUUGGGAAUGCUGCUCUAAAUGGGAGGUAUAUGUCUUCUAAAGCUAAAUACCGGCCAGAGACCGAUAGCGCACAAGUAGAGUGAUCGAAAGAUGAAAAGCACUUUGAAAAGAGAGUUAAAAAGUACGUGAAAUUGUUGAAAGGGAAGCGUUUAUGACCAGACUUGGGCUUGGUUAAUCAUCUGGGGUUCUCCCCAGUGCACUUUUCCAGUCCAGGCCAGCAUCAGUUUUCCCCGGGGGAUAAAGACUUCGGGAAUGUGGCUCUCUUCGGGGAGUGUUAUAGCCCGUUGUGUAAUACCCUGGGGGGGACUGAGGUUCGCGCAUCUGCAAGGAUGCUGGCGUAAUGGUCAUCAACGACCCGUCUUGAAACACGGACCAAGGAGUCGUCUUCGUAUGCGAGUGUUCGGGUGUCAAACCCCUACGCGUAAUGAAAGUGAACGCAGGUGAGAGCUUCGGCGCAUCAUCGACCGAUCCUGAUGUUCUCGGAUGGAUUUGAGUAAGAGCAUACGGGGCCGGACCCGAAAGAAGGUGAACUAUGCCUGUAUAGGGUGAAGCCAGAGGAAACUCUGGUGGAGGCUCGCAGCGGUUCUGACGUGCAAAUCGAUCGUCAAAUAUGGGCAUGGGGGCGAAAGACUAAUCGAACCUUCUAGUAGCUGGUUUCCGCCGAAGUUUCCCUCAGGAUAGCAGUGUUGAACUCAGUUUUAUGAGGUAAAGCGAAUGAUUAGGGACUCGGGGGCGCUAUUUAGCCUUCAUCCAUUCUCAAACUUUAAAUAUGUAAGAAGCUCUUGUUGCUUAAUUGAACGUGAGCAUUCGAAUGUAUCAACACUAGUGGGCCAUUUUUGGUAAGCAGAACUGGCGAUGCGGGAUGAACCGAACGCGAGGUUAAGGUGCCAGAGUAGACGCUCAUCAGACACCACAAAAGGUGUUAGUACAUCUUGACAGCAGGACGGUGGCCAUGGAAGUCGGAAUCCGCUAAGGACUGUGUAACAACUCACCUGCCGAAUGUACUAGCCCUGAAAAUGGAUGGCGCUCAAGCGUCUCACCCAUACCUCGCCCUCAGGGUAGAAACGAUGCCCUGAGGAGUAGGCGGACGUGGAGGUCAGUGACGAAGCCUA